UUCAAUUUUGACUAAAUAGACAAUGACAUGAUGUUUAUUGAUGCUCCUAAAUUACACAUGGCUUUCUUUAUGCAUAAAGUGCCUAUUUUGCAAGAAAUAGUAAACAUACCUUUGUCCUUGCACUUAGGAGGUAGUUUCCUCUUAAUUAUAACAUUUUCUCCCACAGUUAUCUUUUCAUUGCAUCUCACCUUUUUCUUGCUGCACAACUCGUUUAAAGACUUGGU
rnacentral:lncRNA from 1 species